GUGCUCACUGCAGCAGCCCAUAUACUAAAAUUGGGACAAUACAGAGGAGAUUGCCAUGGCCCCCAUGCAAGGAUGACAUGCAAAUUCAUGAAGCAUUCCAUAUCCAA
ensembl:snRNA U6 U6 spliceosomal RNA